AUAAGUCAUACACCUUCAUUUUCAUUAUAUCCUUUUUUUAGAAGCAAGUCACUAAAUGGACAAUUAUUAACAAGUAACGAAAGUGAAGAUGACGAGAUUUUCCGAAGAAAAGUUAAAAGAGCAAAAGGAAAUGUUUUAAACUCUCCUGAGGAUCAGAAAAAUAGUGAAGUUGAUUCUCCACUUCAUGCUGUCAAAAAGCGCAGAUUUCCUAUAAACAGAUCAGAAUUAUCAUCUAGUGAUGAGAGUGAGAAUUUUCCCAAACCAUGUUCACAAUUAGAAGACUUCAAGGUUUGUAACGGGAAUGCCAGAAGAGGCAUCAAAGUCCCAAAGAGACAGAGUCACUUAAAGCAUGUAGCUAGGAAGUUUUUAGAUGAUGAAGCAGAACUUUCUGAAGAAGAUGCAGAAUAUGUUUCAUCAGAUGAAAAUGAUGAGUCAGAAAAUGAACAAGAUUCCUCAUUACUUGACUUUUUAAAUGAUGAAACUCAACUUUCACAGGCUAUAAAUGAUUCUGAAAUGAGAGCUAUUUACAUGAAAUCUUUGCGUAGUCCAAUGAUGAACAAUAAGUACAAAAUG
rnacentral:lncRNA from 1 species